GGAGAAAAAGCUUGCAAUAUAUCCCAUUCCAUCGCAGGAAAGUACUUCCUCAGAAGAUAAGAAUUUGGUCAAAUAUUUACAAGAGCAGAUCCGAGGCUAUGAGGCAGAGGUACAAGAAGCUAGGAAAUUUAAAGCAUUUCACACUAAUAGUGAGUUAUUGAAGGACAAACUAAUA